GGCGCGAUACCGAAGUGGUCAUAACGGAGCGGUCUUGAAAACCGUAGGCGGUGAUGAGCCGUCCGUGGGUUCGAAUCCCACUCGCGCCG
rnacentral:tRNA from 1 species